AUCGCCAUUUUGACCGUGUCACAGGUUCCGUCCAGCCCAGACAAUUCCAUAAAAGGGAAGAGAGGAGGAGCUGAGGGUGGGGCUGUAAGGCUGGGCUCGAGUGACGACGCCCGUGCGAACUAGCUACGAGCUAACCUGAAGCUAACCCUGGCUAACCCAAAGCUAACGCGGAGGUGGGAGCCGAGCUAACGGAUGUAGCCACCUAGCUUCAACCCAACCGGAGCUAACUGGAACACCCAUCGACCUGAACCUCACACGGAGUUUAGGUGGAGGUUUUCGGCGCCUGUUAGUGACAAGUACCUGGAUUUAAAAAGUAUUGAAUCGAUCUGUUUAAAUGUCACCAUGGCAGCCUGUGUGUCUCCAACAUCAGCUACACAAAGCAGCAAGUCCAUUUGGAUCAUUGGAGACAGCUGAGUGAGGCGUGGUGCCCAGAGAGCUGCAGAGACCGUGGGAGACAACCUUGGCCUCCCUGACGUCUGUGUCUCCUGGUUCGGUUGGGGCGGACCAUCGACAUACAUACAUGUGCCGACACUUUGCGCCCUGUUUUAUAAACUGUAGUGUUAAAAAUAAAUGUUUUUGCUCAA